rnacentral:rRNA from 1 species
AUUGAACGCUGGCGGCAUGCUUUACACAUGCAAGUCGAACGGUAACAGGCCGCAAGGUGCUGACGAGUGGCGAACGGGUGAGUAAUGCAUCGGAACGUGCCCAGUCGUGGGGGAUAACGCAGCGAAAGCUGCGCUAAUACCGCAUACGAUCUAUGGAUGAAAGCGGGGGACCGUAAGGCCUCGCGCGAUUGGAGCGGCCGAUGUCAGAUUAGGUAGUUGGUGGGGUAAAGGCUCACCAAGCCAACGAUCUGUAGCUGGUCUGAGAGGACGACCAGCCACACUGGGACUGAGACACGGCCCAGACUCCUAUGGGAGGCAGCAGUGGGGAAUUUUGGACAAUGGGCGCAAGCCUGAUCCAGUAAUGCCGCGUGCAGGAAGAAGGCCUUCGGGUUGUAAACUGCUUUUGUACGGAACGAAACGGUCCUGGUUAAUACCUGGGGCUAAUGACGGUACCGUAAGAAUAAGCACCGGCUAACUACGUGCCAGCAGCCGCAGUAACAC